GCCGAUGUGGCGAAAUGGCAGACGCGGCGGACUUAAAAUCCUCUGUCCGAAAGGGCGUGCCGGUUCGAGUCCGGCCAUCGGUA
rnacentral:tRNA from 1 species